rnacentral:rRNA from 1 species
GACGUAGGGCGCGAGCGUUGUCCGGAUUUAUUGGGCGUAAAGAGCUCGUAGGCGGCUUGUCGCGUCGAAUGUGAAAACUCGGGGCUCAACUCCGAGCUUGCAUUCGAUACGGGCAGGCUAGAGUCCGGAAGAGGAGAGUGGAAUUCCCGGUGUAGCGGUGAAAUGCGCAGAUAUCGGGAAGAACACCCGUGGCGAAGGCGGCUCUCUGGGGCGGUACUGACGCUGAGACGCGAAAGCGUGGGGAGCGAACAGG